UACGUAGGGUGCGAGCGUUACUCGGAAUUACUGGGCGUAAAGCGUGCGCAGGCGGUUUUUUAAGCCCGAUGUGAAAGCCCCGGGCUUAACCUGGGAAUGGCAUUUGGGACUGCAAGGCUUGAGUGCGGCAGAGGAGACUGGAAUUCCCGGUGUAGCAGUGAAAUGCGUAGAUAUCGGGAGGAAUACCGAUGGCGAAGGCAGGUCUCUGGGCUGACACUGACGCUCAUGCACGAAAGCGUGGGGAGCAAACAGG
rnacentral:rRNA from 1 species